AGAAGAGUUUCUAGGUCAUAUGGCCACUAUCUAUUUAACUUUAUUUUUAAAAACUGACAAAUUUUUUAUCAAAGUGCGUGUACCAUUUUGCAGUCUUACCAUCAAU
rnacentral:pre_miRNA from 1 species